rnacentral:sRNA from 1 species
AAUAGAAGUAUUCCAUUCUCCUUCGUCAUUCAUCGGAGAGCUCUCUUUAGGCUUUCCGAAAAGAUAUCACAUGCCAAGUUUGGCCUCACGGUUUAAAAGUUAUAGAGUCAUAGAUUUUUAACAAAACAAAAAGAGAAAAACCGAAAAAAAUUGGGAUGCAACACGAGGACUUUCCUGGAGGUCACCCAUCCUAGUACUACUCUCGCCCAAGCACCCUUAACUGCGUAGUUCUGAUGGGAUCCGAUGCUUUAGUGCUGGUAUGAUCGCAUCUGUUACUACAUGCAAUGUAAUCGUAUCUAUUCUUUUUUAAAGACUUUAUGAUCCAUUUGCCGUGGGUCCCACCAGCUAUGUAGGAAUACCCUAUCUUCUUUAUAAGAGCUUUGAUAAAUGCAAAAUAUUGGAAACCAAUGUCCGAACAUAUAAUUUCGCCCCCGUAAUAUAGCAAAGAUCACGAAAAAGCCCAAAAAAGUUCAUUUAGGUCAAAAUUUGAGCAGAAGAAAAAGAAAUAGAAGAAUUCCAUUUUCCUUCCUCAUUUAUUGGAGAGCUCUCUUUGGGCUUUCCGAAAAGGUAUCACAUGCCAAGUUUGGCCUCACGGUCUAAAAGUUAUAGAGUCAUACAUUUUUAACAAAAUGAAAUAGAGAAAAACCGAAAAAAAGAGGGAUGUAACACGAGGACUUUCCGGGAGGUAAUCUAUCCUACUACUACUCUCGGCCAAGCACCCUUAACUGCGGAGUUCUAAUGGGAUCCGGUGCAUUAGUGCUGGUAUGAUCGCAUGUGUUACUACAUGCAAUGUAAUCGUAUCUAUUCUUUUUUAAAGACUUUAUGAUCCAUUUGCCGUGGGUCCCACCAGCUAUGUAGGAAUAC